UACAGAGGUCUCAAGCGUUGUUCGGAAUCACUGGGCGUAAAGGGUGCGUAGGUGGCGUAGUAAGUCAGAUGUGAAAGCCCGGGGCUCAACCUCGGAAUUGCAUCCGAUACUGCUGUGCUAGAGUACUGAAGAGGUGACUAGAAUUCUCGGUGUAGCAGUGAAAUGCGUAGAUAUCGAGAGGAAUACCAACGGCGAAGGCAGGUCACUGGGCAGUUACUGACACUGAGGCACGAAGGCCAGGGGAGCAAACGGG
rnacentral:rRNA from 1 species